rnacentral:tRNA from 1 species
GGACCCAUGGUCUAGUGGCUACGCAUAAAAAGUAGUGAAAAUGCGCCAUACAGGACGUCCGCCUGACUCGCGGGAGAUCGCCGGUUCAAAUCCGGCUGGGUCCA